GGAAUUGUGGCUCAGUGGUAGAGCACUUGCCUAGCCUGUUUGAGGCCCUGGGUUCGAUCCUCAGCACCG
rnacentral:tRNA from 1 species